ACAUCCUUACUUGAACAUGAUCUGUUCUAUAGGCUUGUAGCACUGUAUCCUUGUUAAGGAGAUAGGAAACCAUGUCUGGUGGAUGAACCAUGACCAAGUGACUAGAGCGUGAUUAACAGCCCUUAUCGACCCUUGGUUGGGUUUUGGAGCCAUAAAGGAUUGUUCUCAACCCUGCUCUUACAUGGCUGGGAUGGUCUCUUGGAGAGUGGACAGACU